GCUUGUUGCUUAAUUAUUAUUAUUUUCUUUUUGAGAGAUAGGUAGCACGCUACCCGCUUCGUUCAUUUUAUUUAAAACUAAAUUUAAUUGAAAAUGUGAAUCAACUAGGAUUCGAACUUGGGUCUCUGGUACCAACCACCAAGCCCUUUGCCACUUGCUCUAGUAAUUAUUACUAAUUGAGGAAGGGAACAGAGAAGAUAAAAAGCGAAAAAAGAAUAAAAGAAGAGAGAAGUGAGAAAAACAAAUAAUAAUGCAUAAAUAUUAUGUA
rnacentral:lncRNA from 1 species